rnacentral:rRNA from 1 species
GGAGGGUGCGAGCGUUGUCCGGAAUCACUGGGCGUAAAGGGCGCGUAGGCGGCCUGAUAAGUAGGGGGUGAAAUCCUGCGGCUUAACCGCAGGGCUGCCUUCUAAACUGUCGGGCUAGAGCACGGUAGAGGCAGAUGGAAUUCCCGGUGUAGCGGUGGAAUGCGUAGAGAUCGGGAAGAACAUCAGUGGCGAAGGCGGUCUGCUGGGCCGUUGCUGACGCUGAGGCGCGACAGCGUGGGGAGCAAACAGGAUUAGAUACCCUGGUAGUCCACGCCGUAAACGAUGGGCACUAGGCGUCGGGGGGAGCGACCCUCCCGGUGCCGUCGCUAACGCAGUAAGUGCCCCGCCUGGGGAGUACGGCCGCAAGGCUG